rnacentral:piRNA from 1 species
UUCCAAACCUAACUGUCCCACAUAAAAGGGC